UACAGAGGUCUCAAGCGUUGUUCGGAUUCAUUGGGCGUAAAGGGUGCGUAGGUGGCGAGGCAAGUCAGAUGUGAAAUCCCGGGGCUCAACCCCGGAACUGCAUUUGGAACUGCCUUGCUCGAGUACUGGAGAGGAGACUGGAAUUUACGGUGUAGCAGUGAAAUGCGUAGAUAUCGUAAGGAAGACCAGUGGCGAAGGCGGGUCUCUGGACAGUUCCUGACGCUGAGACACGAAGGUCAGGGGAGCAAACGGG
rnacentral:rRNA from 1 species